GACGAACGCUGGCGGCGUGCCUAACACAUGCAAGUCGAACGGAGUCGGCCCCGCAAGGGACUGACUUAGUGGCGAACGGGUGAGUAACGCGUGAGCAACCUGCCUUUCAGUGGGGGACAACAGUUGGAAACGACUGCUAAUACCGCAUAAUGCAUUUUGACCGCAUGAUCGAGCUGCCAAAGAUUUAUUGCUGAAAGAUGGGCUCGCGUCUGAUUAGAUAGUUGGUGAGGUAACGGCCCACCAAGUCGACGAUCAGUAGCCGGACUGAGAGGUUGAACUGCCACAUUGGGACUGAGAUAUGGCCCAGACUCCUACGGGAGGCAGCAGUGGGGAAUAUUGGGCAAUGGGGGAAACCCUGACCCAGCAACGCCGCGUGAAGGAAGAAGGCUUUCGGGGUGUAAACUUCUUUUACCAGGGACGAAGAAAGUGACGGUACCUGGAGAAAAAGCCACGGCUAACUACGUG
rnacentral:rRNA from 1 species